ACCAAUGAGGUCCAACAUUACAUGUAUGGACCUCAUAGGCGACAUCAGUAGUAUUUUGUGUCAGAAAUCUUUGUGAAGAUGAUUAUUUUUGUAUUUUAUCAAAACUACAAGCUAUCGUACUGUCUAAUCAUUACAUUUCGAUCUCACUAAUUGAAUACAUUGUUAGCAAUAAAAAAAAUUGAAAGAAAUGAAGGGGAACUUACAUUUUCACGGCUUUUUCCUGAUUUUCUGGGCAACUGCUCCUCUCUUCUGACUCGCGAUCGAAGCUGAUAUGAAGAUCACGUGAUUCGCGUUCUCGUCAGCUGAUCGGUUGGUUAUUCUUUUCGUCAGACGUUAAUAAUAUAUAUUUUAUAAUGCUAGCAUUCAUCGCUAAUUUAGGUGAAAGAGAUUGAAGUUAAACAGCGCCAGGUCGGAAUCAUAAUUAUUUUGGAAGAGUGUAUUUAUACACUCGAUCUCAUACCUGACGUAGACGGCGCUAUUCAACAAAUGCACAAUCUUCAAUAUAAAAAUAAAACAGAAAGAACGCCUUGAACACAGGCCAAAAUGCCAAACGAUUUCUCCGCGGCAUUAACAACUAUCGUAAAGGGCGCUCCAUUUAUCAAUAAAGAUGGACGCUAAGCUGUCUAUGGCGACAAAAUUUGCCGCAAAUAUUUACGAAGAAUUGUGAGAAAUGGUCUGAAAAUGCAACAAAAGAACCGCGCAGAAUAACCUGGUGUAAUGUAGGCCCUACGCACAUUACCAUCUAUGCGGCGUGGUCAUUGAGUAAUGGAACUGGAGAUGACGAUCAGGAGAUGACACUGAGGAGAUCAUUGAUGGCGGGUGAGGAGGAUAGCAGAAUGUUGCUUUGAGGUAUCCAGUGGUUAUCUUGUGGUGACAUGAGGCCAGACGUCGAUGCGUACCUGCAGCUUUACCAGGAGAAGGAAGAUGGUGUCACCAUUAUGCUCUUCUCCGUGAUUUUUUUUCACAUUUUGAUGGCGUUAUUCAGACAAAAUAACAUUUAAAGGCCUUUAGCCAGGAAUUUUAGUAGAAACACGCUCUAUAAACAAUUAUAGGGAACAGAGCGUCCAAUCUUAUCGUGACACUUUACGCAUUUCAAUAGUGAAAUUAAAGGAUAUUUUGCAUUGUUUGGAGAAUAUUAAUAACAAUUUAAGCAAAAAAAGUGUAAGCUUCCUCAUCUUUUCUCUUUUGGGAGGGGAUAACAACCCACUUUCCCCUUUUAUAUUUUUGGGCACUUUCCACCCAGGUGUAGUGAAUUGGUACUGUAUGCAGCGCUUAGAAACAUCUUAUUAAGCACUUCAUAAAUUUUGUUUGUUGUAAUAUUUUAUGUCUUUUGAUAGGGUCCACGCCAAGAUGAACUGCUCUUUUUUUUUUUACCAGUGAUGUACAAUACCUCGUUCAGACUGUCGUGCGAUCAUUUACGAAAGCCACGAUUGGCUUAUCGAACUGAUCGCAAAUUUUUUUGAAACCAUUCAAAAAUUUUCUACGAUCAAUACGAUUACCACGACUGAUGUGAUACGAUCACUAUACGAUCACUCCACGAUUAAGUACGCGGUUUGAAUCGUGGCGUAAAUCUUGACAAUGGGAACUAUAGCGUUUUAAGGCCUCCACCUUACAACUGGUUCACGUUCCGAUUUUGGAACAAAUCCAUUGCUUAUAUUCUGAUAAUGGAAUGGAAAAUAUCUUUUUAUUCGAGGUUCAAAUUAGCAUACCAAUAUAUCAAUCUUGGAUGAUUGCAAGCGUUUAUAAUUAUUUAAAGUUUUAGUUUCAAUUCGUAGCCAAUUGUGUGAUUGUUAUCUCGUCAUUUCGACUAGAUAUUCAUUUCGCUUUUAUUCUAAUAAGGAUGAUAGCAUAGUUAUAGAUUUGAAUGAAAGUGAAAUGAACAAUUUAGAACAUUUAAACAUUAAGAUGUUUCAUGUCUUAAUAUUCGCUUCAAAUUUUGCUUCCUUUUAUUCCGAAAUCGGGUCGAACACUAAUCGUAAGGUUUGGGGUGGUCUUUACGGUUUUUACUUUUUGGAGGGGAAGGUUUUCAUUUACCAUCACAGGCAUUUUGACAAUGGUGGUUCACAAAUUAAAUGCAGAUGUAUAGAACAUUUAAACAUAUGGCUCAUACCCUUACCACCUCUCGGAUAAAAAAUCAUAAAAAGGAAAAAUCUGUAAUAAAACAAACAAUAUAACAGACCUUUUUAUAAUGGGUUAUGUUUGACAUAUUCAUUCCAGGGAAGUGAAAAACAAUGCAUUUUGAACUUUUUUUUAUUAAUGAAUUAACAAAACAUUACUGAAAGUCCAGUUUGCCUAAUUUCUCGUUUGACAGUUUUGAGAUAGCAUUUUGAAGGGUAAGUCCAACCAUACAAAGAGUGGGUUUGAAUAAAUAGAGGCAAAUUCAAAUUAAUCGAAAUCAAUUUUUUUUUCAAAAUCGGAUGUAAAAUAAGAAAGCUAUGAAAUUGUGAAUUAUCGCUUUUUUCACAAAACAAUCAUAAUGUAUAUUUGUAUUUUUUUUAAUGUGAAACAGGUUAUUUCGUUUUUCUGCAGAUUUGACAAAAAACAUCUUUGUUGAAUCAAAAUAGAUUGCAACAAUGGAAAUCUCAUGCAAGAAGAAAACAAACCUUAUUUCGCAUCAUAAAGGAAAAUAUGAAUUUUAUAUUUUCAGAAUCCAUAUAAUAAUAAAAUACAAAGAAAUCUUUGGUUGGUGGCGUCAUCAGUUGCCUCAUUUGCAUACUGACCAGAAUUUCCAUAACUUUCUUAUUUUUACGUCCGAUUAUGUUAAAUUUUCACCAUUGUGGUAGGCUUAUUUCGGAAAUGCAAUAAGAAAAUCUGAAAUAUAUUAGUUCCUCUGCUAAUGAGAUUAGGGUAGAUUCUAUAAUUCUGUAUUUUGCCUGGUGGGUGUUUUAUAAAGCUGUUCAUUAGUCACGACUGACUAUACACCCAACUGGUGAACCUUUCCUGUGCCAUUGUGCUGACUUAGUAUCGGAAGAUUAUGUUCUGACCUUGGAUAAAGUCAUUCGUAACUUUAUGAAGAGCUUUAUGAAACACCCACCUUGACAGUAAAUCAUUUUGAUACACCUUA